CAAAAAUUAUUAAUGGCUGAUUUUAUUGAAAGCAACUUUCUUCAUGAGCAAACUGAAGGCAUGAAGAAGUUGUCUGACUACAUUACCAAUCUUGAGCGUGUUGGUGAUGGACUUGGUGUGUAUCAAUUAAUCAAUUUGAUAAGCUUACAUUGGAUGGUGGUGACAACUAAAUACUUUCCAACCCUGUUUUCAUUUUUGAAAGUCAAUAAAAAGUUUCAAGUCACUCUGAUUGAUUGUAUUCAUCUAUGUAGUAUCUUGUAUCAUAUAAGUUUGUGUUAUAAGUUUAAGUAUGAGGUGAGGUUUUUCUUUAUUAACUAAAGUAUCACGACAGUUACUCGUGACUUCUAAAAGCCUACAAACAUGCUGCUCAGUGGAAUUUCAUUUUCGGGGACAAAUAUAUUUUCUGGAUUACAAGUGCCCACAGUGUGUUUUAUGGUCAACAACAACACAAGGAAAAUCAUUAAGUGCAAAAAAUGCAGUCGUUACAGCUAUAAGCCUCGUGUUGGAGACGAAAAUUUUGUGACAUCGUGAAAAUUCAGCUUAGCUGAAUGAAUUAUCAAUUUUAGGAAAAAUAAACGAUCUACACUCAAAUAUAAAAUAAUAAAACUUACAAACAUACAUAUUUCAUAGCUCAUUGGUCGCCUAAGGACGAAUGACAACAAUUUCAGGCCUCAUGUUAACAGUCAACACGCAAGUAUUUAUGUAGAGAAUUAAAGAAGUUUUGAAAUUUGGAAAGGUAAACCACAUUCUCUUUAUAAUUUUAACAACUGUAUGCGCGUCUGUAGUGACACAAACUAAUACUUUCUAGGUCAGCAUUUUUCACUCACAAAGUUUAUAAACAAAACUGUGAAUAAUUUUAUGUACACGAUAAUAACCUUUAAUGAAAAAAAGGGAAUAUUUCACAUUCUCUUUUUGUGGCUUCAUAAUGGAUGAUAAGAACAAUAUUUGGAGAAAGGAUUUAUUGCUGCAUCAUGAUUUAUAAUUGCCUACCUCAGCAAAUAUUCGAAGUGUUAUUGACAAUGUAGAACCAUGUGUUGAAGUGAGAGCGGAAUAACAACUACAGUAUACGAUUUUAAAGACAUAUUUGUCAUUGUGCAUAUAAUAAAGAAUGUAAUACAACAUUUCAUUAAUCCGAAAUUGAAAUUUUGUCAGCAUUAAGCGUAUUCCAGUGUGGUUUAAUUGAAAUCUCUUUUUUAAUUGUAGCAACAAUCCGCGAGAUGACAUCUUUGGUCUUGGGUAAAGACGAAUAU